rnacentral:rRNA from 1 species
UUUGAAAUCUGGCCUCUUGGGGUCCGAGUUGUAAUUUGUAGAGGAUGUUUCGGGUACCGCCUCGGUUUAAAUUUCUUGGAACAGAAUGUCAAAGAGGGUGAGAAUCCCGUCUUGGACCGGCGGUAGGGCCUAUGUGAAACUCCUUCGACGAGUCGAGUUGUUUGGGAAUGCAGCUCAAAAUGGGUGGUAAAUUUCAUCUAAAGCUAAAUAUUGGCCAGAGACCGAUAGCGCACGAGUAGAGUGAUCGAAAGAUGAAAAGCACUUUGAAAAGAGAGUUAAACAGUAUGUGAAAUUGUUGAAAGGGAAGCGCUUGCAACCAGACUUGAGCGCGGCGGUUCCCCCUUGCUUCUGCUUGGGUUACUCCGCCGUGUCCAGGCCAACAUCGGUUCUGGGGGUCGGUCAAAGGCUCUGGGAAUGUAUCUACCCACGGGUAGACUUAUAGACCAGGGUGUCAUGCGACCUCCCGGGACCGAGGAACGCGCUUCGGCUCGGAUGUUGGCGUAAUGGUUGUCAGCGACCCG